UCGGAGCGUGGCUCAGCCUGGUAGAGCGCUGCGUUCGGGACGCAGAGGUCGCAAGUUCAAAUCUUGUCGCUCCGAU
rnacentral:tRNA from 1 species